rnacentral:rRNA from 1 species
CAUCACUACGCUAGAUGCAUAUCAAUAAGCGGAGGAAAAGAGGGCUAUUACCUACGCUUAGGAUGUUGAUCUAUGACAUGUCGAUCUCAUCUAUACAUGACUCUGCGUAUAUCAAUAAGCGGAGGAAAAGAAACUAACAAGGAUUCCCUAGUAACGGCGAGUGAAGCGGGAAGAGCUCAAAUUUGAAUCUUCAAGGUUUACCUUGACGAAUUGUAGUUUAUAGAAGUGUUUUCUGUUAGUAGAGUGGCAAAAGUUCUUUGGAAUAGGACAUCAUAGAGGGUGAGAAUCCCGUAUUUGGUCAUUCCUCCUAGCUUUGUGAUACACUUUCAACGAGUCGGAUUGUUUGGGAAUGCAGUCCAAAAUGGGUGGUAAAUUUCAUCUAAAGCUGAAUAUUGGCGAGAGACCGAUAGCGAACAAGUACCGUGAGGGAAAGAUGAAAAGAACUUUGAAAAGAGAGUUAAACAGUAGCGUGAAAUUGUCAAAAGGGAAGCGUUUGACACCAGUGUUGUUUUUCCGAAAAUCAAUUACGAAUGUUUUGUUUUUGAGAAGUUAUGACUUCAUCGGCUUGCUCCUUUCUUUACGAAACUUUCUUAAUGCACUUUUCGGUUAACAAGUCAACAUCAAUUUCUUUUGUUGUAAAAGGGUAUGAGGAAGGUGGCUUUCUUUUCGGAGAAAGUGUUUAUAGCCUUGUACCUCUGCAAUCGGAGAGAUUGAGGUCUGCAGCGUAGAUCCUUCGGGGUUAGAUACAGUUUGUGCUAAGUUAUAGCUUUUCAUAGACAACUUGUUGACUAUGUUUAGUCUUGUAGCUUACUCGCUUAUGCUAUUUUACCUACGCUUAGGAUGUUGAUCUCUCACAGUCGAGC